GGUUUACAUAGUGUGUGGAUUGAACAUACAUUUGUCUACAUUAAUAACUACACUAAAAUCAUCUUGCUGAGGACUGCUGUGUACAAAGCUUUACUCGGUGGGAGGUACUGACCUAAAGAGCUGUGGUGAUAUGUCAGUUAUUUAAAUCACUUAAACCUAUCGCUCACAUCACUUAUAUCAAAAUAACAGGUAAGUCCUCCCAUUGACACAGGACGUGUUUCAAC